UACGAAGGGGGCUAGCGUUGUUCGGAAUCACUGGGCGUAAAGCGCACGUAGGCGGAUCUUUAAGUCAGGGGUGAAAUCCCGAGGCUCAACCUCGGAACUGCCUUUGAUACUGGGGAUCUCGAGUCCGGGAGAGGUGAGUGGAACUGCGAGUGUAGAGGUGAAAUUCGUAGAUAUUGGGAAGAACACCGGUGGCGAAGGCGGCUCACUGGCCCGUAACUGACGCUCAUGCACGACAGCGUGGGGAUCAAACAGG
rnacentral:rRNA from 1 species